rnacentral:rRNA from 1 species
AGAGUUUGAUCAUGGCUCAGAGCGAACGCUGGCGGCAGGCUUAACACAUGCAAGUCGAGCGGGCGUAGCAAUACGUCAGCGGCAGAACGGGUGAGUAACGCGUGGGAACAUACCUUUUUGGUUCGGAAACAACACAGGGAAAACUUGUGCUAAUACCGGAUAAGCCCUUACGGGGAAAGAUUUAUCGCCGAAAGAUUGGCCCGCGUCUGAUUAGCUAGUUGGUGAGGUAACGGCUCACCAAGGCGACGAUCAGUAGCUGGUCUGAGAGGAUGAUCAGCCACAUUGGGACUGAGACACGGCCCAAACUCCUACGGGAGGCAGCAGUGGGGAAUAUUGGACAAUGGGCGCAAGCCUGAUCCAGCCAUGCCGCGUGAGUGAUGAAGGCCCUAGGGUUGUAAAGCUCUUUUGUGCGGGAAGAUAAUGACGGUACCGCAAGAAUAAGCCCCGGCUAACUUCGUGCCAGCAGCCGCGGUAAUACGAAGGGGGCUAGCGUUGCUCGGAAUCACUGGGCGUAAAGGGUGCGUAGGCGGGUUUUUAAGUCAGGGGUGAAAUCCUGGAGCUCAACUCCAGAACUGCCUUUGAUACUGAAGAUCUUGAGUCCGGGAGAGGUGAGUGGAACUGCGAGUGUAGAGGUGAAAUUCGUAGAUAUUCGCAAGAACACCAGUGGCGAAGGCGGCUCACUGGCCCGGUACUGACGCUGAGGCCACGAAAGCGUGGGGAGCAAACAGGAUUAGAUACCCCCGUAGUCC